rnacentral:misc_RNA from 1 species
GAUGAAGAACGUAGCGAAAUGCGAUAAGUAAUGCGAAUUGCAGAAUUCAGUGAGUCAUCGAAUCUUUGAACGCACAUUGCGCCCUGUGGUAUUCCGCAGGGCAUGCCUGUUCGAGCGUCAUUUCAACCCUCAAACUCUGCUUGGUGUUGGGCCCUGCCCGCUGCGGCCGGCCCUAAAGACAGUGGCGGUGCCGCCUGGCCCUGAGCGUAGUACAUCUCUCGCUCCAGUGCCCGGUGGUAGCCUGCCAGAACCCCAACUCUCGUGGUUGACCUCGGAUCAGGUAGGGAUACCCGCUGAACUUAAGCAUAUCAAUAAGCGGAGGA